UAGUGGUAGUUCAAGUGGUUAAGACAUUGGACUACUGCUCAGAAGGUCAUGAGUUCAAUCCCCAGCACCACCAA